GUUGUAUAGUCAAGUAAUUAAGUGCAUGUGGUGGAUGCCUUGGCAGUCAGAGGCGAUGAAAGACGUGAUAGCCUGCGAAAAGCUCCGGGGAGGCGGCAAAUAUCCUUUGAUCCGGAGAUGUCUGAAUGGGGGAACCCACCUACUUUAAGGUAGGUAUUGCAACAUGAAUACAUAGUGUUGCAAGGCGAACGAGGGGAAGUGAAACAUCUCAGUACCCUUAGGAAAAGAAAUCAAUUGAGAUUCCCUCAGUAGCGGCGAGCGAACGGGGAUCAGCCCAUUAAGUUAUGUGUGUUUUAGUGGAACGCUCUGGGAAGUGCGAACGUAGAGGGUGAUAUUCCCGUACACGAAAGGGCACACAUAAUGAUGACGAGUAGGGCGAGGCACGUGAAACCUUGUCUGAAUAUGGGGGGACCAUCCUCCAAGGCUAAAUACUCCUGACUGACCGAUAGUGAACCAGUACCGUGAGGGAAAGGCGAAAAGAACCCCUGUGAGGGGAGUGAAAUAGAUCCUGAAACCGCAUGCAUACAAGCAGUGGGAGCACCUUCGUGGUGUGACUGCGUACCUUUUGUAUAAUGGGUCAGCGACUUAUAUUCAGUAGCGAGGUUAACCGUAUAGGGAGCCGUAGAGAAAUCGAGUCUUAAUAGGGCGUUUAGUUGCUGGGUAUAGACCCGAAACCAGGCGAUCUAUCCAUGAGCAGGUUGAAGGUUGGGUAACACUAACUGGAGGACCGAACCCACUGUCGUUGAAAAGCCAGGGGAUGACUUGUGGAUAGGGGUGAAAGGCUAAUCAAGCCUGGUGAUAGCUGGUUCUCCCCGAAAGCUAUUUAGGUAGCGCCUCGGACGAAUACCAUAGGGGGUAGAGCACUGUUUCGGCUAGGGGUCAUCCCGACUUACCAAACCGAUGCAAACUCCGAAUACCUAUGAGUACUAUCCGGGAGACAGACUGCGGGUGCUAACGUCCGUAGUCAAGAGGAAAACAAUCCAGACCGCCAGCUAAGGCCCCAAAAUCAUAGUUAAGUGGGAAACGAUGUGGGAAGGCAUAGACAGCUAGGAGUUGGCUUAGAAGCAGCCACCCUUUAAAGAAAGCGUAAUAGCUCACUAGUCGAGUCGGCCUGCGCGGAAGAUGUAACGGGGCUAAAACUAUGUGCCGAAGCUGCGGAUGUAUACUUUGUAUACGUGGUAGGGGAGCGUUCUGUAAGCCGAUGAAGGUGUGUUGAGAAGCAUGCUGGAGGUAUCAGAAGUGCGAAUGCUGACGUGAGUAACGACAAAACGGGUGAAAAACCCGUUCGCCGAAAGACCAAGGGUUCCAGUCCAACGUUAAUCGGGGCUGGGUGAGUCGACCCCUAAGGCGAGGCCGAAAGGCGUAGUCGAUGGGAAAAUGGUUAAUAUUCCAUUACUUCUGUGUAAUGCGAUGAGAGGACGGAGAAGGCUAAAUCAGCCUGGCGUUGGUUGUCCAGGUGAAAGGAUGUAGGCAUGUAUCUUAGGCAAAUCCGGGGUACUCUAUGCUGAGAUCUGAUAGCAAGCUGUACUUGUACAGCGAAGUGGUUGAUGCCAUGCUUCCAGGAAAAGUCUCUAAGCUUCAGUUACACAGGAAUCGUACCCGAAACCGACACAGGUGGUCAGGUCGAGUAGACCAAGGCGCUUGAGAGAACUCUGCUGAAGGAACUAGGCAAAAUGGUACCGUAACUUCGGGAGAAGGUACGCUGUUGUUGGUGAUGGAACUCGCUUCCUGAGCUGACGACAGCCGCAGAAACCAGGCCGCUGCAACUGUUUAUUAAAAACAUAGCACUCUGCAAACACGAAAGUGGACGUAUAGGGUGUGAUGCCUGCCCGGUGCUGGAAGGUUAAUUGAUGGGGUUAGCGUAAGCGAAGCUCUUGAUCGAAGCCCCAGUAAACGGCGGCCGUAACUAUAACGGUCCUAAGGUAGCGAAAUUCCUUGUCGGGUAAGUUCCGACCUGCACGAAUGGCAUAAUGAUGGCGGCGCUGUCUCCAGCAGAGGCUCAGUGAAAUCGAAAUCGCUGUGAAGAUGCAGUGUACCCGCGGCUAGACGGAAAGACCCCGUGAACCUUUACUGCAGCUUGACACUGAACUUUGACCUUACUUGUGUAGGAUAGGUGGGAGGCUUUGAAGCUGGAACGCUAGUUCCAGUGGAGCCGUCCUUGAAAUACCACCCUGGUAAUGUUGAGGUUCUAACUCUGUCCCGUGAUCCGGGACGAGGACCGUGUCUGGUGGGUAGUUUGACUGGGGCGGUCUCCUCCUAAAGAGUAACGGAGGAGUACGAAGGUGCGCUCAGCGUGGUCGGAAAUCACGCGUAGAGUAUAAAGGCAAAAGCGCGCUUAACUGCGAGACCCACAAGUCGAGCAGGUACGAAAGUAGGUCUUAGUGAUCCGGUGGUUCUGUAUGGAAGGGCCAUCGCUCAACGGAUAAAAGGUACUCUGGGGAUAACAGGCUGAUACCGCCCAAGAGUUCAUAUCGACGGCGGUGUUUGGCACCUCGAUGUCGGCUCAUCUCAUCCUGGGGCUGAAGCAGGUCCCAAGGGUAUGGCUGUUCGCCAUUUAAAGAGGUACGCGAGCUGGUUUAGAACGUCGUGAGACAGUUCGGUCCCUAUCUACCGUGGGCGCUGGAAAUUUGAGAGGAUCUGCUCCUAGUACGAGAGGACCAGAGUGGACGAACCUCUGGUGUACCGGUUGUGACGCCAGUCGCAUCGCCGGGUAGCUAUGUUCGGAAGGGAUAACCGCUGAAAGCAUCUAAGCGGGAAGCCUACCUCAAGAUAAGAUUUCCCUAGGACUUUAUGUCCUCUAAAGAGCCGUUCGAGACUAGGACGUUGAUAGGUUGGAUGUGGAAGCAUAGUGAUAUGUGAAGCUGACCAAUACUAAUUGCUCGUGAGGCUUGACUAUACAACACCCAAGCAGUUG
rnacentral:rRNA from 1 species